ACACAUGCAAGUCGAGCGGAGAUGAGGUGCUUGCACCUUNAUCUUAGCGGCGGACGGGUGAGUAAUGCUUAGGAAUCUGCCAUUUAGUGGGGGACAACAUUCCGAAAGGAAUGCUAAUACCGCAUACGUCCUACGGGAGAAAGCAGGGGAUCUUCGGACCUUGCGCUAAAUGAUGAGCCUAAGUCGGAUUAGCUAGUUGGUGGGGUAAAGGCCUACCAAGGCGACGAUCUGUAGCGGGUCUGAGAGGAUGAUCCGCCACACUGGGACUGAGACACGGCCCAGACUCCUACGGGAGGCAGCAGUGGGGAAUAUUGGACAAUGGGCGGAAGCCUGAUCCAGCCAUGCCGCGUGUGUGAAGAAGGCCUUUUGGUUGUAAAGCACUUUAAGCGAGGAGGAGGCUACCUNGAUUAAUACUCUGGGAUAGUGGACGUUACUCGCAGAAUAAGCACCGGCUAACUCUGUGCCAGCAGCCGCGGUAAUACAGAGGGUGCGAGCGUUAAUCGGAUUUACUGGGCGUAAAGCGUGCGUAGGCGGCUGAUUAAGUCGGAUGUGAAAUCCCUGAGCUUAACUU
rnacentral:rRNA from 1 species